AUUGAACGCUAGCGGCAUGCUUUACACAUGCAAGUCGAACGAGUGGCGGACGGGUGAGUAAUCUCUGGGAACGUGCCCAGUGGCGGGGGAUAACUACUCGAAACAGUGGCUAAUACCGCAUACUAUUGGAGAGGCCCAGAUGGGAUUAGCUAGUGGGUGGGGUAAAGGCUCACCAAGGCGACGAUCCGUAGCUGGUUUGAGAGGAUGACCAGCCACACUGGGACUGAGACACGGCCCAGACUCCUACGGUAGGCAGCAGUGGGGAAUAUUGGACAAUGGGCGAAAGCCUGAUGCAGCCAUGCCGCGUGUAUGAAGAAGGCCUUCGGGUUGUAAAGUACUUUCAGCGGGGAGGCGUUACCCGCAGAAUAAGCACCGGCUAACUCCGUGCCAGCCGCCGCGGUAAUAC
rnacentral:rRNA from 1 species